UUUGAUCCUGGCUCAGGACGAACGCUGGCGGCGUGCUUAACACAUGCAAGUCGAACGGAAAGGCCCUGCUUUUGUGGGGUGCUGGAGUGGCGAACGGGCGAGUAACACGUGAGUAACCUGCCCUUGACUUUGGGAUAACUUCAGGAAACUGGGGCUAAUACCGGAUAGGAGCUCCUGCUGCAUGGUGGGGGUUGGAAAGUUUCGGCGGUUGGGGAUGGACUCGCGGCUUAUCAGCUUGUUGGUGGGGUAGUGGCUUACCAAGGCUUUGACGGGUAGCCGGCCUGAGAGGGUGACCGGCCACAUUGGGACUGAGAUACGGCCCAGACUCCUACGGGAGGCAGCAGUGGGGAAUAUUGCACAAUGGGCGGAAGCCUGAUGCAGCAACGCCGNGUGCGGGAUGACGGCUUAGGGUUGUAAACCGCUUUCGCCUGUGACGAAGCGUGAGUGACGGUAAUGGGUAAAGAAGCACCGGCUAACUACGUGCCAGCAGCCCGCGGUGA
rnacentral:rRNA from 1 species